CCUACGGGUGGCAGCAGUGAGGAAUAUUGGUCAAUGGCCGGAAGGCUGAACCAGCCAUGCCGCGUGAAGGUCAGUGCCCUAUGGGCGUUAAACUUCUUUUGUGCGGGAGCAAUGAUGGUCACGUGUGGCCAGACGAGAGUACCGUACGAAUAAGCAUCAGCUAACUCCGUGCCAGCAGCAGCGGUAAUACGGGGGAUGCAAGCGUUAUCCGGAUUUAGUGGGUGUAAAGGGUGCGUAGGCUGUGAGGUAAGUCAGCGGGGAAAUGCCCCCGCUCAACGGGGGGAAGUGCCAUUGAUACUGGCUUGCUAGAAUGCGGAAGCGGGGGGAAGAAUGCGAGGUGUAGCGGUGAAAUGCAUAGAGAUGA
rnacentral:rRNA from 1 species